CUCCAGACUCCUACGGGAGGCAGCAGUGGGGAAUAUUGCGCAAUGGGCGAAAGCCUGACGCAGCGACGCCGCGUGAGGGAUGAAGGUCUUCGGAUCGUAAACCUCUGUCAGCAGGGAAGAACGGUCACUGUGCUAAUCAGCAGUGAAUUGACGGUACCUGAAGAAGAAGCCCCGGCUAACUACGUGCCAGCAGCCGCGGUAAUACGUAGGGGGCAAGCGUUAUCCGGAUUUACUGGGUGUAAAGGGAGCGUAGACGGCGACGCAAGUCUGGAGUGAAAGCCCGGGGCCCAACCCCGGGACUGCUCUUGGAACUGCGUGGCUGGAGUGCAGGAGGGGCAGGCGGAAUUCCUGGUGUAGCGGUGAAAUGCGUAGAUAUCAGGAGGAACACCGGUGGCGAAGGCGGCCUGCUGGACUGCAACUGACGUUGAGGCCCGAAAGCGUGGGGAGCAAACAGGAUUAGAUACCCCAGUA
rnacentral:rRNA from 1 species